CAGAUGGAUGAGGCCACCGUUCCUGGAUGGAGUAAAUCUACUGGGAACCUGGGUUCUCCAUCACGAGGUUGUCCCGUCAUCAGCCCCAAAAGAAGGGGAACUGCCCUCUCCGGGAGCUUGACUUUCAUUUCCCCAAGGCUGGGACUGGGGCAGGCACCAGGCUGUCUUCAGAUACUUCAUACAGAAAUGCCUGUCCAUCAACACAGCAUUGCGGGAUCCUUACCAUGGCAUCCAGCCCUGGAGAUGCUUCAGGAAAGUUGCAGGUCCAUGCUGCAGGACAGGCUCAGAUCAGCAGAGACGCAUCUCACAUCGGGCUGUGAAAUUCAAGUUGAGCUGCAAUUGGCAAUGAGAAGAAAAAAGGAGAAAUAAAGAAAUGCUGACUCUU
rnacentral:lncRNA from 1 species